CAGUAGCCGCGGUAAUACGGAGGGGGCUAGCGUUGUUCGGAAUUACUGGGCGUAAAGCGCACGUAGGCGGCUUGGUAAGUUAGAGGUGAAAGCCCAGGGCUCAACCCUGGAAUUGCCUUUAAGACUGCCGAGCUAGUAGGUGAGAGAGGUAAGUGGAAUUCCGAGUGUAGAGGUGAAAUUCGUAGAUAUUCGGAAGAACACCAGUGGCGAAGGCGGCUUACUGACUCAUUCUAGACGCUGAGGUGCGAAAGCGUGGGGAGCAAACAGGAUUAGAUACCCCAGUAGUCCCUGUCUCUUAUAA
rnacentral:rRNA from 1 species